rnacentral:tRNA from 1 species
GAGCCGUUAGCUCAGUCGGUAGAGCACCUGACUUUUAAUCAGGGGGUCCCGGGUUCGAAUCCCGGACGGCUCACCA